UACGAAGGGGGCUAGCGUUGUUCGGAAUUACUGGGCGUAAAGCGUAUGCAGGCGGAUCGUUAAGUCGGGGGUGAAAUCCCGAGGCUCAACCUCGGAACUGCCUUCGAUACUGGCGAUCUUGAGUCCGGGAGAGGUGAGUGGAACUCCGAGUGUAGAGGUGAAAUUCGUAGAUAUUCGGAAGAACACCAGUGGCGAAGGCGGCUCACUGGCCCGGUACUGACGCUGAGAUACGAAAGCCAAGGGAGCGAACAGG
rnacentral:rRNA from 1 species